rnacentral:rRNA from 1 species
GACGAACGCUGGCGGCGUGCCUAAUACAUGCAAGUAGAACGCACAGUUUAUACCGUAGCUUGCUACACCAUAGACUGUGAGUUGCGAACGGGUGAGUAACGCGUAGGUAACCUGCCUGGUAGCGGGGGAUAACUAUUGGAAACGAUAGCUAAUACCGCAUAAUAUUAAUUAUUGCAUGAUAAUUAAUUGAAAGGUGCAAUUGCACCACUACCAGAUGGACCUGCGUUGUAUUAGCUAGUAGGUGAGGUAACGGCUCACCUAGGCGACGAUACAUAGCCGACCUGAGAGGGUGAUCGGCCACACUGGGACUGAGACACGGCCCAGACUCCUACGGGAGGCAGCAGUAGGGAAUCUUCGGCAAUGGACGAAAGUCUGACCGAGCAACGCCGCGUGAGUGAAGAAGGUUUUCGGAUCGUAAAGCUCUGUUGUAAGAGAAGAACGGGUGUGAGAGUGGAAAGUUCACACUGUGACGGUAGCUUACCAGAAAGGGACGGCUAACCACGUG